rnacentral:misc_RNA from 1 species
GGUGCCUUCCUCAAUCUUUCUUGAUAAAUAUUUGAUCUUUGGAUUUUUUUUUAAUUCCUUACUAAUUUUUGGGAUUCUUAGAUAGUCAAGAACUCUUGAAUCUAACUUAUCCCACAUGAAAUAAUUUCUUAUCUUUAAUUUCCCGUGGUAGCUUUGUUUCUAAUCAAGAUUUUACUUAUUGCAUUUUUUGGAGUAGGGGGGAUAGUGCUUUCUGUAG